rnacentral:rRNA from 1 species
UACGGAGGGGGCAAGCGUUGUUCGGAAUUACUGGGCGUAAAGGGCGCGUAGGCGGUUCGCUAAGUUGAAUGUGAAAACUCUGGGCUUAACCCAGAGCCUGCAUUCAAUACUGGCGGGCUAGAGUUCUGGAGGGGAUAGCGGAAUUCCUGGUGUAGCGGUGAAAUGCGUAGAUAUCAGGAGGAACACCGGUGGCGAAGGCGGCUAUCUGGGUAGAUACUGACGCUGAGGAGCGAAAGCGUGGGGAGCGAACAGG